GAUGAACGCUGGCGGCGUGCUUAACACAUGCAAGUCGAACGAAGCACUUUAAUCGAUUUCUUCGGAUUGAAAUUUUAGUGACUGAGUGGCGGACGGGUGAGUAACGCGUGGGUAACCUGCCUCACACAGGGGAAUAACAGUUGGAAACAGCUGCUAAUACCGCAUAAUGCAACGAAAUCGCAUGACUUUGUUGCCAAAGAUUUAUCGCUCUGAGAUGGCCUCGCGUCUGAUUAGCUAGUUGGCGGGGUAACGGCCCACCAAGGCGACGAUCAGUAGCCGGACUGAGAGGUUGGCCGGCCACAUUGGGACUGAGACACGGCCCAG
rnacentral:rRNA from 1 species